CGGUGAAGGUGAAAGCUUCUCUCUGUCGGCUGCUCUCCCUCUGUCCUACAGGUCGACAAGACAUGUGCAGCUCGUCUCACUAGAUGACCCGGCUCACCAGGCGCACCUGCACUCAUCAACUGCUCACUAUAUCUGCCCUGGCUGGGCGCAGAGUCGUCGCCAGAUCGUCCUUGUCACUACAGUGCUACCCCGUCAUCCUGCUCACCUGAUUCUCCUUCCUGCUGAAGAACUUCCGGAGCCAUCAGCACCCCCUCGUCCUGGCCUCCUGCUUCUCCUCUGCGCUGAAGAACUCCCGGAGCCAUCAGCACCCCGUCUAUCUACCUUGUCCCACGUUAAAUAAACGUCAUUGAACGCACCACCUCCGUGCUCUGUGUUUGCCUCCGCUCUGGGGUCCAACGGUCUCGUAUCGUAACAGAACGAACUGGCCAUUAAACAAUGGACCCCACGGAGACAAACGAAUUCCGCCACGCCAUUGCGAGGCAAGGGAACCUGAUAGGACAACAAGACCAGACCCUCCAAGGACUUGUUAAUUCCGUGAACUCCGUUGGGACCAUGCUCACACGGCUUCACUUCUCCUCCGCAUCUUCCUCGCAGGAAUCAUCCACCCCGACGCCUUCCGACCCUACUGUGGCUCCCACCCGUGAUCCCCACAUGCCCACACCUGAACGCUACUCCGGUGAGUUGGGGUCUUGUCGGCGUUUCCUGCUCCAAUGCUCACUUGUUUUUGAUCAUCAGCCCUGCAGUUAUGAUAGUGACCGUGUUAAAAUAGCUUUUGUUGUGAGACUCACAAUUUAAUUUUUCAUUUGACCAGUUUCAAACUGAAAUGAAAAAGGUUUUUGACCACCCAGUUUGGGGCAAGGAGGCAGCCAAUCGCUUGCUUUCGCUCCGACAGGGGACACGCUCAGUGGCGGAUUACGCCGUUGAGCUCCUCAUUCUCGCUGCGGAGAGCGGAUGGUAUUCGCUCGCCCUACAGAGCAUAUUUUCUCACGGCUUAGGGGAUAAUAUCAAAGAUGAGUUGGCAGCUAAAAAUGACUCCGAAUCCCUUGACGAUUUGAUUUCUCUAGCCAUUAGGUUAGAUAACCGCCUUAGGGAGAGAAAUCGUGAGCGAGCAGGACGCCAGCAGGCCCCAGCUUCACUUCCCCGUACCUCAGUCAAUCCACCUCCGACAUAUCCUGCACUCAGCUCCUCUUCCCGGGAUUCCACUGAGGAGCCCAUGCAGGUCGGGAGGGCCCGGCUCACGGCCAUUGAGAGGGAGUGGCGUUUCCGGGAACGGCUGUGCCUGUACUGUGGUCAGCCCGGUCACACUCUCUCCAUCUGUUCCCACCGGCCAAAAGAGGGGGCUCAUUAGGUAAAGGAGGAAUCCUGGUGAGCCACAAUCAGUCCUCCACGUCCUUCUCCCCCUCCAGAACAUUAUUAGAGUCAAGACUAGUCACCAACACAUUCUCUCUCCCCCUCAAGGCCCUGGUGGAUUCCGGGUCGGAUGAGAACUUCAUAGACACAAAUCUAGUCUCUCAAAGCAACUUUCCUCUCACUCCCCUCCCAAGACCGACAGAGGUUAGUGCCUUGGAUGGUCGUCAUCUGGCUGAAAUAACCCACCAGACUCAACCCCUCACCCUAGUGGCAUCAGGGAAUCACCGAGAGACCAUCCAAUUCCUGGUCAUCUCCUCACCUCACUCCCCCCUGGUUCUGGGACAGCCCUGGUUACAGCUCCACAACCCCCAUGUCGACUGGAGGAGAGGCACAGUGAUUGGUUGGAGUUCCCAUUGCCAUGCCAACUGCCUCCGUUCAGCCAGCCCGUCAGCUUCUUUCCCACCGUCACCUCCUCCUUCCCCUCCAGACCUAUCUCAGGUUCCCCCAGAAUACCACAGCCUCCAGGAGGUGUUCAGUAAGGACAAGGCCCUUAUCCUACCCCCUCACCGACCCUAUGAUUGUGCAAUCAAUUUAAUUCGGGGACACACGUUUCUGUCCAGCCGUCUAUAUAAUCUUUCCAAGCCCGAGAGGGAGGUGAUGGAGAAGUACAUCCAGGAUACCCUUGCAGGGGGACUCAUCAAGCCCUCUUCAUCCCCGGUGGGAGCCGAUUACUUUUUUGUAAAGAAGAAGGAUGGCUCACUACGGCCUUGCAUUGACUUCUGCAGGCUUAACCAAAUUACGGUAAAAACAAGUACCCACUCCCCCUGAUCGAUGCUGCUUUCGGCCCCUUACACGAGGCCUCUAUUUUCUCCAAG